CAGCCGCCGCGGUAAUACGAAGGGUGCAAGCGUUAAUCGGAAUUACUGGGCGUAAAGCGUGCGUAGGUGGUGGUUUAAGUCCGUUGUGAAAGCCCUGGGCUCAACCUGGGAAUUGCAGUGGAUACUGGGUCACUAGGGUGUGGUAGAGGAUAGUGGAAUUUCCGGUGUAGCAGUGAAAUGCGUAGAGAUCGGAAGGAACAUCUGUGGCGAAGGCGACUAUCUGGGCCAACACUGACACUGAGGCACGAAAGCGUGGGGAGCAAACAGGAUUAGAUACCCGCGUAGUCCCUGUCUCUUAUAC
rnacentral:rRNA from 1 species